UACGGAGGGUGCAAGCGUUGUUCGGAAUUAUUGGGCGUAAAGCGGGUGUAGGCGGCUUUGCAAGUCGGGUGUGAAAUCCCUGGGCCCAACCCAGGAACUGCACUCGAUACUGCAUCGCUAGAGUCCCGGAGAGGAUGGCGGAAUUCCAGGUGUAGAGGUGAAAUUCGUAGAUAUCUGGAGGAACACCAGUGGCGAAGGCGGCCAUCUGGACGGUGACUGACGCUCAGACCCGAAAGCGUGGGGAGCAAACAGG
rnacentral:rRNA from 1 species